CCAGAAUUUUAUUUCCACUCUUUUCUUUGAAUUUUGAUUUGUGAUGAUGAGCCAAAUUCCUUCCAACUAAUCAAAGAAAUCUAUGUAACAUAACAUAUUUAGUAAGCAAAAAAAAUGCUUUCUAUAAAGAAAAACAUUUUUUCAUGUAACAGACUUUGCUUUAUUUACCGACUCCUUUUCCAUGUUCUUUUCAUGAGAGCUAUUACAAAGGGAGAAUCACAUUUAAAGAUCUUUCAAAAAAAUUAUUCAUAAAUAAUAACUAUUUCAUUCGAGAAAAAAUAAGUGAUGUUCCAAUUUUAAUAACAAUCUAUUUUGUAUUAAUCUCUGUCUAUAAAUAAUUUUUUUGAGGGGUUUUAGAUGCGAUUCUCCCUGUUACAAACAUGCACAAGCUAGUAAUACGCUUCAUCUUUGAAAUGUAGCUACUUUUAACUUCUUCUUCUUCUUGGUUUUUUUUUUUUUUUUGGCUAGUUAUAGCUAGAGUCUUUGGGUGAACAGGUCUUCCCAACAAAGGUUACGAUGACGAAGAUGAGGAUGAUGAUGAAGAUGGGUUUACGAGGGGGAAUAAUAUUAAGGAAGAUUUAGAAAGUGGGAAAAACAAGUUCAACAAACCCAUCUCACCAUCUCCAGUUUCUUCCAAGAUCUAUUAUGCUUUCUGGAAACUUGUGGCCAAAGAAUGGGACAGUGUGAAAGAAAUUUGGAAGAAGAAGAAGCAAAACAUGCAAGCAAAGGAGGUAGCUGACUUCUCAGUGAACAUAGAUGACUCAUGGACCAACACAAAACAUGGAGAUCCCCGAACAGAGGUUGUCUUGCCGGUGAUUCAACCGUCCAAUGUUGCUGCCACAAGGAAGGCCAUGAUCGACAAGAC